rnacentral:rRNA from 1 species
GACGAAUGCUGGCUGCGUGCUUAACACAUGCAAGUCGAACGGUGAAGGGGAGCUUGCUCCCCGGAUCAGUGGCGAACGGGUGAGUAACACGUGGGCAACCUGCCCCUCACUCUGGGAUAACUCCGGGAAACCGGGGCUAAUACCGGAUACGACCGGGAGCGACAUCGCUCCUGGUGGAAAGGACUUCGGUGAGGGAUGGGCCCGCGGCCUAUCAGCUAGUUGGUGGGGUAACGGCCCACCAAGGCGACGACGGGUAGCCGGCCUGAGAGGGCGACCGGCCACACUGGGACUGAGACACGGCCCAGACUCCUACGGGAGGCAGCAGUGGGGAAUAUUGCGCAAUGGGCGAAAGCCUGACGCAGCGACGCAGCGUGAGGGACGAAGGCCUUCGGGUUGUAAACCUCUUUCAGCGGGGACGAAGCGAAAGUGACGGUACCCGCAGAAGAAGCACCGGCUAACUACGUGCCAGCAGCCGCCGCAG